GAAAUAAGUAGCCACAACGUAAUUCGUGGCUGUUCGUAGAAACGUUAAACCUUAACCAUGCCCUAAACCUCUAAUGUAUAAUAAAUUCUAACUUUUAAAUCAUAAAAAAUUUAAAAUUAAUAUGUCAAAACGAAAAUUCAACACUUACAAAAUUGAAAUAUAACUCUUUUCAAAUUUCAAAUUCUAGACCCUAAGCAUACCUUAAACCCCUAAAUCAAUAAUGUAUAAUAGUAAUCAAUCAAAUUUCAAAAUUGUUUACCACCUAUAAAAAUGAAAUAGGAAAAAAAUUUAAGCUCCGAAAAGCAUUGGAUACUUCACCUAAACAGUUUAUUCUUCUCCUACUCUUGUUUUCCUUUUCAUUACGACUUUCUUCUCCGCUUAACACAAUUCGCUUUUUGCUUCUUUCAUUCUUAGCUUCAACUUAUUUUCUUUCUAGCUUUUGUGGGUAACUUAGGGUUUAUCUCGCCGUAGAUCUUGAUUGGGGCUCAAAACCAAUGGUGGCUGGAGCGAAGGUUUGCGGAGUUCCAGACGGCAUGAGAUCUACAGUUAUUCACCUUCCUUCUCAUCUCUCCAUCAGUCAUGGGUUCGGUUUUGCAAAAAAGUCGAGAUGUUCACCAGUUACUAUCCCUUUCCGGAAUCGAUUCCCGAACAAGAGAUAUAGUAAAGGGUUGUGGUCCUCGUGGAGUUAGCAGGUGGAUAUAUCAUCAGUAUUUACGAAUUGAGCAAUGAUAUCCUCUUCCUCAUGCGGCUGCAGUGCUAAAAGAGAAGUGUAAGAUUGACUUGUGUGUUAUGAGGAUCACUGGCUCAAGUAAAUCGGGAAUCAACUUAUCAAGAUUGAGUUAACUUAUGUAAGAAGAGGGAGAGUCAGCUGAUGCUGAUACAGCAAGCUGUUACUACGACUGGUUGCUGCUGCUACGAGGAAUUCAUGUGGUCACUACGACCCAGGAGAUAUCAGAAUCUAAAGAUCAGAGAUCUCUAAAGAAAAUCGUACACACUUUUAUGAAGGAUGACGGUGGUGAGCAGUAUCUACGUUUGCCAACGGCGGUGGUGGUGGUGGUUACGGCCAAGACAUAUCACAAAAUGUUAUUUAUGUUUUAAGUUUAAUUAAUUUAUUAUAAUUUUAUUGUAUAACAAAAUAUUAUUUCAAAUAAAAUUAAUUGUUUGGUUUUUCA